GGCAUCCCUGGCCGCUAACACUUUCACUAUCACUGGCCACGCUGAGACAAAGCAGCUGACAGAAAUGCUUCCUAGCAUCUUAAAUCAGCUUGGAGCUGACAGUUUGACUAACCUGAGGAGAUUGGCAGAAGCCCUACCCAAGCAAUCUGUGGAUGGAAAAGCACCACUUGCUACUGGUGGUGAUGAUGAUGAUGAAGUUCCAGAUCUUGUUGAAAACUUUGAUGAAGCUUCAAAGAAUGAGGCAAACUGAACUAAGUGACAGUUUCUGAAUAAAAUUAAAACUUGAAAAAGCUAUAUGAAGCUGCUAUUUUAUAUUGUGACUGCUUUUAUUCAAUUUUAUUUUGAUUUCCUGAUGGGAUGUCAAAAUAUGUAAUAUUUGGAAACUCCUGAACCUGCAGCUCUUUUUCAGUUAUUGCUUGUACACAGUAUUGUUUUUGUGGCCUAGUUGAACAAACCUAUGCUUUGAAAUGUCAGAUUGCUAAUGAAUCUCAUGAAUCUCCACCUAGACACAAAUUUUGAGUAACUUGUAUACAAGCAAUACCACAUCUUUAAUGAACUUUGACAUACAAUAAAAAAUAUAAAAUUAUCUUUCUGGUGUGGCUUUUUGUCAGAAAAGCAAGAAAAAAAAUUGACCAUUAACUAUUAAGCAAUCAUAAAAGGUCUUGCUUUUUUUCAGAGCAUCCUCUUUGUCAGAAAACUGGUUUCUAGGAAAAUUUUCAGUGCAUAAUGGAGCAUUUAAGACUUAUUUGGUGAGUUCCCAGUGUUUGUGGGUCAGAGCACAUACACUGUGUUCCUAAGACACUUUUUAAUCUACUGAAUUUAAGAAGUAGACCUGUAUUCUAGAACUGCUUUAUGGUUGUAGGGGGUUUACGUGGCAAGUAUGGGGGGGGGCUGCAGGAGUGACUUCUGUGAGAAGACACCAGAAGCUUCCCUUAUGUCCAAGAGAGCCAAUGGCAGCUGGCUCCAAGGAAGACCUGCUGCUGGCCAAGGCCGAGCCAAUCAGUGAUGGUGGUAGCACCUCUGGGACAACAUUUUUAAGAAGGUAGCAGGAGAAAAGCUGGGCAACAGCAGCCAGGAGAGAGGAGUGAGAAUAUGUGACAGAAACAUCUCUGCAGACAGCAAGGUCAGUGAAGAAGGAGAGGGAGGAGGUGUUUCAGGUGCCAGAGCUGAGAUUCCCCUGCAGCCCAUGGUGAAGCAAGUUGUCCAUCUGCAGCCCAUGGAGGACCAUAUGCCUGAAGAAAGUGCACUUGCCCAAAGGAGGCUGUGACCCUGGGAGAAGCCCACACUGGAGCAGGCUCCUGGCAGGACCUGUGGAGAGAGAAGCCCGUGCUGGAGCAGGUUUACUAGCAGGACCUGUGACCCUUUGAUUUGUUGGGGAACCCAGCUGGUUCUGGGCUCUCAGUAAGCUGAAAUACUGCAGAUGGAACUUCUUACACCUGGCAGAGGAUUAACCAGGGACAGUAGGACUGUAACACAGAGUGGGUUUCCUGUGAGGAAUGUCAACCUAUGGUGUUAGGACAUGUGGCUGUAUGUCCAAUCAUGAGUUGUUAUGAUAGUGGUAAACCAAUGCUGUGUGUACGUGUGUCACCCAGAACUGUAUAAAGGUAGCUACAUGGUUGCAAAAAAAAGCUGCUGGUAUCCUGAAACCCAUGUCGCAUCCUGCCUCGACCGCGACAUUGAUUAAAUCCUGUCUGGAUGGAAAUGUGUAGAUUUAAAGUUAUGUUCCUUAAGAAUUGCUUUAAAGACAGUAUCUUAACUUUUAAUCAAAUAUUAACAAUCUAUUUGUGCUUCUUCACCGUUGUCUUUGUUGGUUCAGUUUUUAUCUCAGCCAUUGCCUAGCUGUGAGAAAGCAGAAUUUGAGCAAUUAGAAAGUGGAUGAAUAAAGUUUUGUUUGCUCCUUGGUGGAAUUAUUUCCCAUCUAUACUAUUUCUCUCUAUGAACAGAACUGCUUGCCUCUGUAGUUUUUAACUCCAUGACCAACUGCUGUGGUUUAAUCCCAGCUGGCAACUAAGCCCCACACAGCCACUUGCUCACUCCUCCCCUGUGAGAUGGGGGAGAGAAUCAGAGAGUAAAAGUGAGAAAACGUGAGGGUUGAGAUAAAAAUAGUUUAACAAUAUUAAUAAUAUUAAGGAAAGGAAAAAAUAACAGACAGAAAAAUAAAACCCAAGAAAGACAGGUGAUGCAAAUGAAAACAAUUGUUCACCAACUGACCAUCCAGUCCCUGAGCAGCAGUCCCCCCACCAACCUCCCCCCUAGUUUUAUUGCUGAGCACAAUGCUAUAGGGUUGGAAUAUUCCUUUGGUCAGUUGGAGUCAGCUGUCCCAGCUGUAUCCCACACAAUUUCUUGUGCACCCCCAGCCUACUCACUAGUUUGUGACAUCUGUGAUUACAUGCUGCACAGUCAAUUUUGCGAAAAUAAUUUAGUUAAUCAGAAAAAGCAAAUUGUUUGAUAACACUCUGAAAUGUGGUAUACUUUUGAACUUCAAGAGUGAAAUAUUUUAUUAACACUCCCAUAAGAAGUUACAUUUUAAGUGCUUUUGUCAAAGGGCUUGGAGAGAAGCAACUUGGAAUUAGAAUUGGAUCACAGAAUUUUCAAAUUCCUCAGGUCCCAUGGCAUGCUGUGGCAAGAAAACACUAUGCUGCCUUCAGAUCCAUGGGUGUGGUUCAAAGGUAGCUCCUAGUAUCUUUGUCUUCUCCCUGCCAUCAGAGGCUAAAGAAUUUGUUCACUCAAACAAAAUCAGCAGGCUGACACUUCAGAACAUUAUGAACACUGGCUUUAAAAUUUUUCUUUCUAUAAACAAAGAAAUGUGUGACAUGGGGUUGGGGUCUUUUAAUCCUAGAACUUCUAUAUUUGGAAGUAUUUAUACCAAGAGAAACAAAACUCCUUUGUUGUGUUUCAGAGAAGCACAAAGUGUGUGAAGCAUGCUGUUAAUAUUUCAUAAUCAUCGAUUGUCUGUGCUUUAUUGAUGAUGUUUUUUCCAGUGAAUAAAGCUUUUUCUUUGCAGAGAUUCCCCCCACUCUUUCUUCCUCCCCCCCUCAUCACUGGUCUCCAAUUGGACAUCGAGCCAUUGACUGCAACUCUUUUGAGUAUGACCAUCCAGCCAAUUUUUUUAUGCACACAGUGGUCCAUCCAUCAGAACCAUGUCUCUCCAGUUGAGAGACAAGGAUGUCAUGUGGAAAAGUGUCAAAUGCUUUGCACAAAUUCAAGUAGAUGACACUGGUCAUUUUUCUGUCAUCCACCAUUGCCAUAACCCCAUUGUAUAAGGUCACCAAAUUUGUCAGGCACGAUUUGCCUUUAGUGAAGCCAUGUUGGCUGACACCAGUCACCUCCUUAUAUCAGACUCAGUUAUUUCUGGUAGUCCAUAUCUAGGUAUAAUUUCUCUAAGUAGAGCUUUUAUAACUCCUCCCUUGUCCACUUUCCUAGUGGGAAAUGGUUCCACCUAACCUGAUAACUGGUCUACUAUUAUUAACAAAUGCUUAUAUCCAGCAACAUAUCAGGCACAUCAGCAUAAUAGUAGUAGUCUUUGGAAAGGAAAAUCAAUCUUGGAGUCUGAGGACUCACUCCAGAUCUUUCCAUCACAUUCCUCAGGAUCCCACGAAGAUUUCAUAGUGACAGCACAAACUUGGAAAAUCAAAACCUUACUUUUCCCAUAUUUGUGCCUUCAUUUGUCAGCAGUGCAUGCCACCAACCACUCUACAGCGCAUUGCUGCUCAUAGCACCACUCUGAUUGAGUGUUAAUUACUUCUUGUGCGAUUGCCUUGGCAUCUUGUAAAGUCCCUAAGUCCUUUUCCAACUCUCACUUUAAUCUGCAAUGCUCUAACUUCAUGGUCGAGAACUCCAAGGCCAGUAGCUAACAACCAUCCCAAUCUCUCCUCUAGCUUGUGAGAAGACUUAGAUGCUGCUUUCUAUGGCAAUUCAUGCACAGUCCUCUCAAUCAUCUGGGGGGUAACCACCUCCCCAUCAUGUAUUUCAGGCCUUACUUCCAGCAGAGCUAGGAAAGCAGCUAGGGGAGUCCAGCACUCAGUACUGGGCCAUCCUGGAAUGUGGAGAGUCACCACUACAGUCUCCCCAGUCCUUGACUUUUGCUAGCCACAGAGUACUUGUUCCCAGAUACUGCUGAGUACUCCAAAUGUAUGAGUUAAUAUAGGCAGGCAGCUGGGACAACCACAAACUUGUGGGUAGUACACAAAGAGUAAAUUUAUUUCCAUUGACUCACUAACCAGGGGAUCCCUGAAGCAACACCCAGGCAGAGAUAUAUGCAAAUGGAGACCCAGGCACCAUUAAACUUGGUCCAUGCCAGAGGAUCACUGACUGCUGUUCACACUGGCUUAUCAAGGGUUAUUCCCAGCUGCAAGGUCACCUGAACGAUUUACAAUCCUCCUCAUCAGUCUUCUGCUUUAACCCAUUCCUCCCAAUGGCCUUUAUGAAUCCCUACUGAUUUACUACAGUGUAGGUGGCUACUCGCUGUCCAUUGCAGUAAUAAGAGGACCCAUCAGUAAACAGCACUGGGUCUGGAUCUUGUAAAGAGAGGUCUUUGCAAUCUUCUGUCUACUUACUGAUAGUUUAUAUUACUAAAUCACAUUGUUGAUGUUCCUCUUCCUCAUCUGGCACAGAUAGUAACAUUGUGGGGUUCAACAUGUUGCACCUUUUCAACAUUAAAUUAUCUGCAUUCAGAAGAGUUAACUCAUAUUGAUGAACACAUUGAGGGGAAAGAGCCUGUGUAGAAUGUUGUUUCUCAAAAGUAGUUCUACUUCAUGUGGUACAUGAACUGUUACUGAAUGUUCUAAUACUAGGGGGUGGCUUUUCUUUAUUAUGACCACCACUGCAGCUAUAGACCUUAUGCAUGAUGGGGUUGCAUUCAGUUGUACAGAAUAAUGUGCUACUGGCCCCUAGUGAGGCCCUCAAUUGCUGUGUCAAUACUCUGCUUGCUACUCCUUUCUGCUCAUGUAUAUACAAAUCAAAAGUUUGUGUAGUCAGGUAGUCCUAAGGCAGGGACCGAGGUCAAAGCACCCUUUAUAGCUCUAAAAGCUGUUUCCUCCUCUGGCCCCCAAACAAUGGGUUCAACUUCUUCAUUCCUUUUUUUGAUCUACAAGGCUGUGCAGUUACCCCAACUGGGCAAGUAAUAACCCCCGAACCAGUCUUGUGUGAACUACUGGAUCAGGAACAUGAGGUUACUCAUUGGAGUGCAAAAAAAUUAUUGAAACAUUUGCUUAAGUUGGUUAUAGGUCCAAAAAUUACACAAAUUGUGCAGUCAGCAAUUUGACGUGUGUAAAAGAAGUAAUCCAAACACUGCCAAUAGAGUAGUAAUAGGAGCUAUACGAUCUGGAAAGGUUCUGAGUGAAUAUUGACAGAUUGAUUUCACCAAACUGCCCAGAAAAGGAAACUAUAAAUAUCUCCUAGUCUUGGGGGAUACCUUCUCUGGGUGGCCAGAGGCUUUUCCUUGUCACACCAACCAGGCUAGGGAAGCGAUGAAAAUACUAUCAAACCAAAUAAUACCUAGAUUCAGGGCACCUUUGGGAAUGUUAUCAGACAGAAGUUCCCACUUUACUGCAGAAGUAGUAUAACAAGUAAAAUCAUGGAUACGUUAUUCCAGAAUUCAAAAGACCGAAGCCCCUCUGGUAAUUGAUCUGAAAAGAAACAAAAUACUUAAGUCUUGUUUUGCUAUCUUGACAAUAGUUAAUUCAGUCUUGACUUAGGAGCAAAAUUUGCAUCUAGUUUUAAUACAAAAUGUGACCCAAGUGUUGCAUAAAAAUGAUUGUUGGGUGUGCACCCAUUUACCUGAAAACACAAUGAAACCAUUAACCAUUUCUGUAUUUCCAAUUCAGGGAGAAAUUAAUAUUAGUCACUGGGUAAGCACUUCCUUUCACCAAAAAGUAGACAUAGCAGUUAGUGUGCAAGUACCCACUAACAUCCCUUAUAAUCAGAGAGUGAGUGCUUUCAGUUGCUGGCAGCGGAUAACACUUUGGCAGGGCCCGCUGAGGGGUCUUCACACUGUUGGUUGAGCGCCCCCUGACAAGGGCAGUCGAAUCACCCUCUGACCUUGUGAAUCUGUUGGUGAAGGAUCUCAUUUUGAGACGCCAAUGGACUGGUCAGACAAAAGGGUCUCAGCUUUCCUGGGGGCACCAUGUAAAGUAAGAUAUAUGCAGGUAUCAUACAAAAAUGCCAAGGCAGUGAAAAGAAUUCAAAAAGGUUUAUUGCGAAGGCAAGAACCCUAAAAAACCUACAAGGAAGAAUGUCUGCAUCAGCUGUGGAAAACACUGGGCUUGUGAAAGUCAUGCCUCCUGAUCUCUUCCAGGCUUCUUAUCUUCUCUGGUCUCCCUUCCCCCAGCCUGUAACAGGGCCUGUAACACUGUGAGGGUUUAUCUCUCUCCUCAAAUACCAGAGAGAAAGAGAGAGAGAGCCCACAGUCCUCUCUGGUAUGCAGAAGGAAAAGGGAAAAAAAACCCAUCUAACCACUCUUGAGAAAGGUACUUCCUAGGCAGGAAAGGCUUCCUAAGAAAAAACAAGUUCUACCUCCUCAUCACAAAUUCUUCCAAAAGGGUACCACCCCUACACAACUACAGGCAAAACCUAAACUCCCCCCUUUCAUGUGACAGUGUCACUCAAAAGUAUUUUUUUAAAAUAGUACAUCAAACUGAAAACUGACAGAAUGUCACAAGCAUGUGAUCCUAACUAGUGAUGGAUUAUGCCACCUGAGUCUUUCACAACACCCAUAAUAAAAACAUCCUGACACUGUAAAGACACUAUCAGACCUUCAGGUUGCAGGGUUGCAGGUUGCAAGGAGUUACAAGGACAGCAGGUAGGGAAAGAGAGUCUCAAAGUCUUUCUUGACCCUCAUGAACCCUGUAUCUCUUAUCCAGUUUGAUCUUAUCCAGUUUGAUCCAGUGUGGGGGAGAAACAGGGUUCUAGAACAACCCCUGAUAACCUCAUGGUGGAAGUUAGAAUCAUAGAAUCAUUUAGGUUGGAAAAAAACUAAGAUCAUCAAUUCGAGCUGUUAACCCAGCUCUGCCAAGUCAACCACUAAACCAUGUCCCUAAUGACACAGUGUAGUAGUAUUAUUAAUAUAAUAAAUGAUAAGUCAGCAUGGGCUCAUUGACACCAAUGUGGUGUGUAACAGAAUCCUUUAUUAAGGAAGAACAGUAGCUUAUAUAGCCAGUUUGAAUCAUUACACGUCACAGCAUGUGGCCUUCUUAACCAGUCCCGAUAAGGUGCUUCACUGCACAUGUGCAACAGAGUCCUGGAGACUUUGUUUCCCAGAAUGCUCUUCUGGCAUUCUUCCUGAAACCCGAAUGCUACAACACUGGCAGAAUGGGAGUUUCAAAGUUUAUCAGAGAAGCCCUCCCAUUGAGUCAUGAGGUGCAGAAAGGACCCUGUGAGGAUAGAUUAUGCACAGGUACCCCAGAUACCAGGCAGUGGAAGGAUUUAGAAAAAUUUAUUUCCAAAAGCCAAGAACACUGACAUGAUGGUACAAACACUAGGCAUCAAAAAGCACGUGCUGUUCUCCUCAGGGUCAUUUUAUCAUGCACCUGCCCCCCUGCUGUGGGGGCUUUCAAGUAUGUCUGCGAGAAACUUUUCUCUUGUACCAGGGAGUCAGCCUCUCUGGAAUGCAGGAGGAGAAAACACAUAAGACUAUUCCUGGGAAGAUGCCUCUUUCCCAGGCAGCAAAGCUUCCUUGAGCAACAUAAACCCUUGCAUCCUCAAAAUAAAUCUUCCAGAAUGAUUCUUCUAUACUUAGAGACCCCUUUGCUUUCCAAACUCCCUCUCAGAGAGGAGUCCAGGUGUGGCUGGAUCCAAUCCUAGUCCCAGACUGAGUCAACAGUUUAUGUGUAAAGGAUUAUACAGAUGUAAUUGAGCCUUUAUGUGACUGUCCCGCAGAAUUAAGGAUCACAAACAAGGUAUAUUUAUAUAAAUAAAAUAAAUUAUUUCUUUAAGUGAAUGAUGAUAAUGAUUAGACUACAAGACUUUAAUCAGAAUUAUUUACUAGACAAUAUAGGUAGUUAUAACUACUAGUAUAGUGCACUAUUACGGUCUUACUACUACCAUCAAGAUUAGCACAUCAAAUCUUGAUUUCUGAUAAACCAGAGUAGCAGGACAGUAAAGGUGCAUCCUACCCAGAGACCACUGGAAGGUAAGCAGGAAUACCCAGAGCAUCAUUUGUAGUGCUUUAAAAUCUAACAUCUUUCUUUCAGCAAAAUGUCUUCUGCUUUGUAACAAUCUAGUAGCACACACAUUUUAAGAGGGCCUCUACCUAGCUCUUUCCCACUGGAUGUUACAUGUCACCAUUAUCUCUGUUUUAUUAUUAUUUAUCAUGUCCAUAGGAGUUAGGUGCUAUAUCUAUGCACAAGACAGCCUCCAAGAUGGAUACAAAUUAUCUUACAUACUGUGUUUAUCCUUCUCAAAGUCUUCUCCAGUGUAUGACCACAUGCUGAGAAGAGACAUAAAACUUAUGGUACAACUCCAUGUUUACUGACCAAUCGGUCUUUUCCAGCCAAAUUUUCUCAGCAUAUUGUUACACAGACCUUCUCUCCAGCUACCAUGUCUGUUAACUCAGCCUUAACUCCCAGAAUCAAGGUUUCAUUGCUAAUGUGCAAGGCACAAAAAUCUCUACAGUCAUUAAGAAUAAGAAAUAAACUUUUCAUACUGAAAAUCAUUAGGUAUAAUUCUGAUAUUCAUGGAAGCAGCUUCCACUGAGAAGGAAGACUAUGCCACCUCACAUCCCUCUUAAUCAUUAAGGUAGUUUAGUGAUACCCACUUAUUAACAGCAUCUAUCUUAAUGAUGUUGAGCCUGUAAGAUACAACUCACACAUCUCAGUUAGUCAGUAGGAUGUUAAUUAAAAAUUUGUAAUUUUUGAAGAAUUUCAAAAGACAACAUUGAGGAAAAUUCCCAAAAUCAUUCCUGAGAUGAGAUGCAAAGAUGCUAUAGAUGUAGUAAUACUCAAGUUAAUACAGAAGAAAAAAAAAAGAGUGCUCCAGUUGAAAAGUGUGAAAAGUCUUGGCACAAACGGAAGACUUCUGUAGAUUCAAUACUUGAUCACAAACAUCCAUGGUGAUACAAAUUCUGCUUGCUGUUCUAGGUAGUAUGCUAGCACCUAAAAGAUGUACUUGUAGGAGGCACAGAGAGUGUGUGUUCCUAACCUGAGAUUACUGUAUCCCCCCAUCUAUAAUCAGGAAAUCAAGAUGGGCUGGUGCUGAGUGACUGACAUGAGACCAUGCCAAGGGAUGAUUUUUUUCUGGAAAAGCUGAAAACUGGCACUGGAAUUUCUGAGUUGUUAUAUUAGUCAUAGGCUAUCCUUCUUAUAUUUUGGUAGAAAAUUCUCAUUUGACAUGUUAUUCAGAUCAAAAGAAUGUCAAACCAUUUUACACAUAUUACCCUUCUGAAAGGGCCCCACAAAAGAACUAUUCUUCGAGGAGGCAAUGUGAACUGAAUAACAGCAGUUCCAGAUUGAGAAAAAUAAUACUCUUCCCUGAUAUUACAUAACAACACAUUGGCAGAAAUGUCUAAUUCACAAGUCAAGUGAGACAGCCAAAUGAGUUUCCUGGUAGAUUAUUAGUUAGAUAUGUGGGAAAAGGCUGGGCUGUAGACAGCUUAGGCCUUGAAUUUGAUCAGUUACAGCUGUGAGCUUGUAAAAGAAUGUAAACACCAGGAAGGUGGGAGAGCAGAAAAGGAGGAAGAACUGCAGUAAAUAACAGGUUUUGUUUUGAGAUUUACCAGCACGCAAAAGGACACCGACCACCUAUCAAAAUAUGAACUGCGGUGCAUGAACAACAAUACUUAACCAAUGAAUUAUAGCAUGUAUAUGCGUGGACAGAAGAAAAGACUAUAAAACUAAAUCUGAUGUUAAUAAAGUGCCUAUUGCCUUCCAA